rnacentral:rRNA from 1 species
GUAGGGAAUAUUGCGCAAUGGACGAAAGUCUGACGCAGCGACGCCGCGUGAGUGAUGAAGGCCUUAGGGUCGUAAAGCUCUGUUGAAUGGGAAGAAAAAAAUGACGGUACCAUUCGAGGAAGGACCGGCUAACUUCGUGCCAGCAGCCGCGGUAAUACGAGGGGUCCUAGCGUUGUUCGGAAUCAUUGGGCGUAAAGGGUGUGUAGGUGGCCAUGUAAGUCAGGUGUGAAAGCACAGGGCUCAACCCGGGAAGUGCACUUGAUACUGCGUGGCUUGAGUACCGAAGAGGGUAGUGGAAUUCCAGGUGUAGUGGUGAAAUACGUAGAUAUCUGGAGGAACACCGGUGGCGAAGGCGGCUACCUGGUCGAGUACUGACACUGAGACACGAAAGCAUGGGGAUCAAACAGGAUUAGAAACCCUGGUAGUCC